UUCGUAGGGUGCAAGCGUUAAUCGGAAUUACUGGGCGUAAAGCGUGCGCAGGCGGUUCGGUAAGACAGAGGGGAAAUCCCCGGGCUUAACCUGGGAACUGCAUUUGUGACUGGCGGGCUAGAGUAUGGCAGAGGGGGGUAGAAUUCCACGUGUAGCAGUGAAAUGCGUAGAGAUGUGGAGGAAUACCGAUGGCGAAGGCAGCCCCCUGGGCCAAUACUGACGCUCAUGCACGAAAGCGUGGGGAGCAAACAGG
rnacentral:rRNA from 1 species